UACGUAGGGUGCGAGCGUUGUCCGGAAUUAUUGGGCGUAAAGGGCUCGUAGGCGGUUUGUCGCGUCGGGAGUGAAAACCCAGGGCUUAACCCUGGGCUGGCUUCCGAUACGGGCAGACUAGAGGUAUGCAGGGGAGAACGGAAUUCCUGGUGUAGCGGUGAAAUGCACAGAUAUCAGGAGGAACACCGGUGGCGAAGGCGGGUCUCUGGGCCGAUACUGACGCUGAGGAGCGAAAGCGUGGGGAGCGAACAGG
rnacentral:rRNA from 1 species